AAAGCCUCUAAGCAUCAGGUAACAUCAAAUCGUACCCCAAACCGACACAGGUGGUCAGGUAGAGAAUACCAAGGCGCUUGAGAGAACUCGGGUGAAGGAACUAGGCAAAAUGGUGCCGUAACUUCGGGAGAAGGCACGCUGAUAUGUAGGUGAAGCGACUUGCUCGUGGAGCUGAAAUCAGUCGAAGAUACCAGCUGGCUGCAACUGUUUAUUAAAAACACAGCACUGUGCAAACACGAAAGUGGACGUAUACGGUGUGACGCCUGCCCGGUGCCGGAAGGUUAAUUGAUGGGGUCAGCGCAAGCGAAGCUCUUGAUCGAAGCCCCGGUAAACGGCGGCCGUAACUAUAACGGUCCUAAGGUAGCGAAAUUCCUUGUCGGGUAAGUUCCGACCUGCACGAAUGGCGUAAUGAUGGCCAGGCUGUCUCCACCCGAGACUCAGUGAAAUUGAACUCGCUGUGAAGAUGCAGUGUACCCGCGGCAAGACGGAAAGACCCCGUGAACCUUUACUAUAGCUUGACACUGAACACUGGUCCUUGAUGUGUAGGAUAGGUGGGAGGCUUUGAAGUGUGGACGCCAGUCUGCAUGGAGCCGUCCUUGAAAUACCACCCUUUAAUGGCUGGUGUUCUAACGUGGGCCCGUAAUCCGGGUUGCGGACAGUGUCUGGUGGGUAGUUUGACUGGGGCGGUCUCCUCCUAAAGAGUAACGGAGGAGCACGAAGGUUGGCUAAUCCUGGUCGGACAUCAGGAGGUUAGUGCAAUGGCAUAAGCCAGCUUGACUGCGAGCGUGACGGCGCGAGCAGGUGCGAAAGCAGGUCAUAGUGAUCCGGUGGUUCUGAAUGGAAGGGCCAUCGCUCAACGGAUAAAAGGUACUCCGGGGAUAACAGGCUGAUACCGCCCAAGAGUUCAUAUCGACGGCGGUGUUUGGCACCUCGAUGUCGGCUCAUCACAUCCUGGGGCUGAAGUAGGUCCCAAGGGUAUGGCUGUUCGCCAUUUAAAGUGGUACGCGAGCUGGGUUUAGAACGUCGUGAGACAGUUCGGUCCCUAUCUGCCGUGGGCGCUGGAGAACUGAGGGGGGCUGCUCCUAGUACGAGAGGACCGGAGUGGACGCAUCACUGGUGUUCGGGUUGUCAUGCCAAUGGCACUGCCCGGUAGCUAAAUGCGGAAGAGAUAAGUGCUGAAAGCAUCUAAGCACGAAACUUGCCCCGAGAUGAGUUCUCCCUGAGACUUAGAGUCUCCUGAAGGAACGUUGAAGACGACGACGUUGAUAGGCCGGGUGUGUAAGCGCAGCGAUGCGUUGAGCUAACCGGUACUAAUGAACCGUGAGG
rnacentral:rRNA from 1 species